CCUUCAAUGAGUGUGUCUGUCUGUUGUGCGGGUUGCAGGUCUGUCUGAGCUGCAGCAGUUCUCCUUGCUGAUAGGCCAGCUCCUCUUCCUGCACGGCCAGGUCUUCCUGUAGUAGUUCUGCUUGGUGGGCUGCCUCCAGGCUCUCUCUCUGUUCCCCUGAUAGCUCUGCCUUCAAACGUCUAAUCUCCUCCCUCUGCUGUGACAUCAUCUCCGACAGCAUCCUCUGGUGUUCUCUCUCGUUCACCUGGAGACAGAAAACAAGAGCGAUAGAGAGAGGGGGGAUGACUAGCAGCACACAGGUAUGCGUAUCAGGUUGUUGUUGUGGUGUGUGUGUGUGUACCUGUUUGAUAAGGCUGAUCUGUCUCUUCUGCUCCUCCUCCAGAGUGGCUCUCUGCUCACACAGCUCUCUCUCCAGACGGCCGCUCAGCUCAGACACCUCCUCCUGGUGUUUCUCCUGCAGCUCCUGCACGUCCUCACUGUGAGAUCUCCUCAGUCUCUCUGUGGCCUCCUCCACAGACCGCAUCUGCUGCUCCAGGAGAGCUUUCACCUCCUGCUCCCUCUCCCUCCGCUGCUCCUCCAGCAGGCGUCUCACCCCCUGCACCUCCUCAUCCUUCUCCUGCCUCUCCUCCUCCCACUUCUCCCUCUCCUCCUCCACCUGAAAAAGAGAUGUCAUAUCAUGUCUGUUCAGUACUUCCUGAACAGGUCCAAAUACAUAGUCUAAUCAUCACCAUCCUCCUCACCUCUUCCUCCUUGGCUUGGAGCUGUCUCUGGAACUCCUCCAGCUCCUCCGCCAUCACCUUCUCCAUCCUCCGCAUGGUUCUAGAUCUCUCCUCUUUUAGCUGUUCCAUCACUUGCUCCUGGCUGGGGAGGAGGGUACCUCCCUCCUCCUCUAGGAGAGGAGAGGAGUUGAGUCUCUCCAUAUCUUUCUCUCUCUCCUCCAGUAAGGUGCAGAGUCUGUUCUUCAGAUUGUCCUCCUCGUGUGUUUUCAGGCUGACCUCCUCCUCAGCUCUCCUCCUCUUCUCCCGCUCCUCCUCAAGCUCCCAGUGCACCUCCUGCAGCUCCUCGGAGACCUGGGCCCACCU
rnacentral:lncRNA from 1 species